UUUUUUGCAUCUUUCUAUUGUUCGACUUGUAUUCUGCACAUUUGAUAGAAUCUUUUGUCUUAACGCAGUCUAUCUUUUUCGAGUUAAGUGGUUAGAUGUGCACGUGAUCGAAUUGACUUCAACGAUGAUCUUAUGGCUAUUUUUACUAACUUUUAUCCAGCCUGCAUUGAGCUUACACGAACCGUGUCUGGAUUAUGUUCAGUCCGCGAUGCGUCAAAAACUGGAUUUGUUUCCGCUAGAUGAUAGAUUUCGAAACGUACCUAUUGCAUUCAACGAAAACCAAUAUGAUAUUGUAUUGCGCCGAUUGAACUGCGUGUUCAAUCAACCGCCAAACCAACCAAAAACACUACUUAGUCGGUCUAGACAAAGUGGAAGAUUUUAUCUGCUGGUUGGGAACGAUAUUUACCUUAUGGUUUUUGAUCAGACUUGUUUCCGUUGGUUAUACAUUGCAACUAUUGAGGAUAGCAGCGAUGGAGUGGCAGAGUUUGAG